AUGCUUGUUCCAGCAGCACAUACACUAAGACUGGAACUAUAUUGAGAAGAUUAGCAUGGCCCCUGUGCAAGGAUGACACACAAAUUCCUGAAGCAUUCCAUAUUUUU